AUAUAUAUACGACCGUACCGCAAACCGACACUGGUGCGCGAGAUGAGUAUUCUAAGGCGCUUGAGAGAACUCAGGAGAAGGAACUCGGCAAAUUGACACCGUAACUUCGGAAGAAGGUGUGCCCUAUUAGUGUGUAGUGAACAACGAAGCAUGAAUGGGUUGCAAAAAAUCGGUGGCUGCGACUGUUUAUUAAAAACACAGCACUCUGCAAACACGAAAGUGGACGUAUAGGGUGUGACGCCUGCCCGGUGCUGGAAGAUUAAAUGAUGGGGUGCAAGCUCUUGAUUGAAGUCCCAGUAAACGGCGGCCGUAACCAUAACGGUCCUAAGGUAGCGAAAUUCCUUGUCGGGUAAGUUCCGACCUGCACGAAUGGCGUAACGAUGGCCACACUGUCUCCUCCUGAGACUCAGCGAAGUUGAAAUGUUUGUGAUGAUGCAAUCUCCCCGCGGAAAUACGGAAAGACCCCAUGAACCUUUACUGUAGCUUUGUAUUGGACUUUGAACAGAUCUGUGUAGGAUAGGUGGGAGGCUUUGAAGCAGGGUCGCUAGAUCUUGUGGAGCCAACGUUGAAAUACCACCCUGGUGUGUUUGAGGUUCUAACCUAGGUCCAUUAUCUGAAUCGGGGACAGUGCAUGGUAGGCAGUUUGACUGGGGCGGUCUCCUCCCAAAGCGUAACGGAGGAGUUCGAAGGUACGCUAGUUACGGUCGGACAUCGUGACGAUAGUGCAAUGGCAUAAGCGUGCUUAACUGCGAGACUGACAAGUCGAGCAGAUGCGAAAGCAGGACAUAGUGAUCCGGUGGUUCUGUAUGGAAGGGCCAUCGCUCAACGGAUAAAAGGUACUCUGGGGAUAACAGGCUGAUACCGCCCAAGAGUUCAUAUCGACGGCGGUGUUUGGCACCUCGAUGUCGGCUCAUCUCAUCCUGGGGCUGUAGCCGGUCCCAAGGGUAUGGCUGUUCGCCAUUUAAAGAGGUACGUGAGCUGGGUUUAAAACGUCGUGAGACAGUUUGGUCCCUAUCUUCCGUGGGCGCUGCAGAUUUGAGGAAGCCUGCUCCUAGUACGAGAGGACCGGAGUGGACACACCUCUGGUGUAUCGGUUGUCACGCCAGUGGCAUUGCCGAGUAGCUAAGUGUGGAAGAGAUAACCGCUAAAAGCAUCUAAGCGGGAAACUCGUUUCAAGAUGAGAUCUGCCGGGGCCUUGAGCCCCCUAAAGAGUCGUUCAAGACCAGGACGUUGAUAGGUCAGGUGUGGAA
rnacentral:rRNA from 1 species